CAGCCGUAAACAAUGUGCGUUAGGUGUGUCGGUAACCACGCGUUACUGAUGCGCCGAAGAGAAAUCGUGAAACGCACCACCUGGGAAGUACGGUCGCAAGGCUGAAACUUAAAGGAAUUGGCGGGGGGAGCACCACAACAGGUGGAGCCUGCGGUUUAAUUUGGAUUCAACGCCGGACAUCUCACCGGAUAAGACAGCUGAAUGAUUGUCAAUCUGAAGGUUUUACAUGACUAGCUGAGAGGUGGUGCAUGGCGUCAGUGACU
rnacentral:rRNA from 1 species